AGCGGUUAGUAGGUGAGUGAUGGGGUGACGCAGGAAGGUAGUCCAUCCCGGGCGGUGGUUGUCCCGGGGUAAGGGUGUAGCCCGAGUGGUAGGCAAAUCCGCCACUCAUACAGGGUGAGACCUGAUGCCGAGCCGAUUGUGGUGAAGUGGAUGAUCCUAUGCUGUCGAGAAAAGCCUCUAGCGAGUUUCAUGGCGGCCCGUACCCUAAACCGACUCAGGUGGUCAGGUAGAGAAUACCGAGGCGUUCGGGUGAACUAUGGUUAAGGAACUCGGCAAAAUGCCCCCGUAACUUCGGGAGAAGGGGGGCCAUGUCUGGUGAGAGGACUUGCUCCUCGAGCUGGGUGUGGCCGCAGAGACCAGCGAGAAGCGACUGUUUACUAAAAACACAGGUCCGUGCGAAGCCGUAAGGCGAUGUAUACGGACUGACGCCUGCCCGGUGCUGGAACGUUAAGGGGACCGGUUAGUCCGACUUCGGUCGGGCGAAGCUGAGAACUUAAGCGCCAGUAAACGGCGGUGGUAACUAUAACCAUCCUAAGGUAGCGAAAUUCCUUGUCGGGUAAGUUCCGACCUGCACGAAUGGCGUAACGACUUCUCGACUGUCUCAACCAUAGGCCCGGUGAAAUUGCACUACGAGUAAAGAUGCUCGUUUCGCGCAGCAGGACGGAAAGACCCCGGGACCUUUACUACAGUUUGAUAUUGGUGUUCGGUUCGGCUUGUGUAGGAUAGCUGGGAGACUUUGAAACGCGGACGCCAGUUCGCGGUGAGUCGUCGUUGAAAUACCAGUCUGGUCGUGCUGGAUGUCUAACCUGGGUCCGUGAUCCGGAUCAGGGACAGUGUCUGAUGGGUAGUUUAACUGGGGCGGUUGCCUCCUAAAGAGUAACGGAGGCGCCCAAAGGUUCCCUCAGCCUGGUUGGCAAUCAGGUGUUGAGUGUAAGUGCACAAGGGAGCUUGACUGUGAGACCGACGGGUCGAGCAGGGACGAAAGUCGGGACUAGUGAUCCGGCGGUGGCUUGUGGAAGCGCCGUCGCUCAACGGAUAAAAGGUACCCCGGGGAUAACAGGCUGAUCUUCCCCAAGAGUCCAUAUCGACGGGAUGGUUUGGCACCUCGAUGUCGGCUCGUCGCAUCCUGGGGCUGGAGUCGGUCCCAAGGGUUGGGCUGUUCGCCCAUUAAAGCGGUACGCGAGCUGGGUUUAGAACGUCGUGAGACAGUUCGGUCCCUAUCCGCUGCGCGCGCAGGAAUAUUGAGAAGGGCUGUCCCUAGUACGAGAGGACCGGGACGGACGAACCUCUGGUGUGCCAGUUGUUCUGCCAAGGGCAUGGCUGGUUGGCUACGUUCGGGAGGGAUAACCGCUGAAAGCAUCUAAGCGGGAAGCCUGCUUCGAGAUGAGUAUUCCCACCCACUUGAUGGGGUAAGGCUCCCAGUAGACGACUGGGUUGAUAGGCCGGAUCUGGAAGCCCAGUAAUGGGUGGAGGUGACCGGUACUAAUAGGCCGAGGGCUUGUCCU
rnacentral:rRNA from 1 species